rnacentral:rRNA from 1 species
AGAGUUUGAUCAUGGCUCAGAUUGAACGCUGGCGGUAGGCUUAACACAUGCAAGUCGUGCGAGAAAGUAUCUUCGGAUAUGAGUAGAGCGGCGGACGGGUGAGUAACGCGUAGGAAUCUACCUAGUAGAAGGGGAUAGCCCGGGGAAACUCGGAUUAAUACCGUAUACCUCCUUCGGGAGAAAGAAGGCCUCUCUUUGAAGCUUUCGCUAUUAGAUGAGCCUGCGUAAGAUUAGCUUGUUGGUGAGGUAAAGGCUCACCAAGGCGACGAUCUUUAGCGGGUCUGAGAGGACGAUCCGCCACAUUGGGACUGAGACACGGCCCAGACUCCUACGGGAGGCAGCAGUGGGGAAUAUUGGACAAUGGGCGCAAGCCUGAUCCAGCCAUACCGCGUGUGUGAAGAAGGCCCUAGGGUUGUAAAGCACUUUAAGUUGGGAAGAAAAGUUAUUGGUUAAUACCCAAUAACCGUGACAUUACCAUCAGAAUAAGGACCGGCUAAUUCCGUGCCAGCAGCCGCGGUAAUACGGAAGGUCCAAGCGUUAAUCGGAAUUACUGGGCGUAAAGCGCGCGUAGGUGGUUUAUUAAGUUGGAUGUGAAAUCCCCGGGCUCAACCUGGGAACUGCAUCCAAAACUGAUUCACUAGAGUACGAUAGAGGGAGGUAGAAUUCACAGUGUAGCGGUGGAAUGCGUAGAUAUUGUGAAGAAUACCAAUGGCGAAGGCAGCCUCCUGGAUCUGUACUGACACUGAGGUGCGAAAGCGUGGGUAGCGAACAGGAUUAGAUACCCUGGUAGUCCACGCCGUAAACGAUGUCAACUAGCUGUUGGAAAACUAUGUUUUUCAGUGGCGCAGCUAACGUAGUAAGUUGACCGCCUGGGGAGUACGGCCGCAAGGCUAAAACUCAAAUGAAUUGACGGGGACCCGCACAAGCGGUGGAGCAUGUGGUUUAAUUCGAUGCAACGCGAAAAACCUUACCUAUACUUGACAUACUUGGAAUGCUUUGUAAUGAAGCAGUGCCUUCGGGAGCCAAGAUACAGGUGCUGCAUGGCUGUCGUCAGCUCGUGUCGUGAGAUGUUCCGUUAAGUCGGAUAACGAGCGCAACCCUUACCCUUAUUUGCCAGCGAUUCGGUCGGGAACUAUAAGGGGACUGCCGGUGAUAAACCGGAGGAAGGUGAGGACGACGUCAAGUCAUCAUGGCCCUUACGUAUAGGGCUACACACGUGCUACAAUGGAGAAUACAGACGGACGCUAAGCCGCGAGGUGGUGCCAAUCCUAGAAAAUUCUUCGUAGUCCGGAUUGGAGUCUGCAACUCGACUCCAUGAAGUCGGAAUCGCUAGUAAUCGCGAAUCAGCAUGUCGCGGUGAAUACGUUCUCGGGUCUUGUACACACCGCCCGUCAUACCAUGGAAGUGGAUUGCACCAGAAGUAGAUAGUCUAACCUUAGGGAGGGCGUUUACCACGGUGUGCUUCAUGACUGGGGUAAAGUCGUAACAAGGUAGCCGUA